rnacentral:rRNA from 1 species
AGAGUUUGAUCCUGGCUCAGAACGAACGUUAGCGGCGCGCCUAACACAUGCAAGUCGUGCGAGAAAGGGCUUCGGCCCCGGUAAAGCGGCGCACGGGUGAGUAACACGUAGAUAACCUACCCUCAGGUGGCGGAUAACCUUCCGAAAGGAGGGCUAAUACGGCAUAAGACCACGACCUCGCAAGAGGAUGGGGUAAAAGC